rnacentral:rRNA from 1 species
GACGAACGCUGGCGGCGUGCCUAAUACAUGCAAGUAGAACGCUGAAGAGAGGAGCUUGCUCUUCUUGGAUGAGUUGCGAACGGGUGAGUAACGCGUAGGUAACCUGCCUUGUAGCGGGGGAUAACUUUGGGAAACGAUAGCUAAUACCCCAUAAAAAUGGAUACCACAUUGCUUUAUUUUGAAAGGGGCAAUUGCUCCACUCCAAGAUGGACUUGCGUUGUAUUAGCUAGUAGGUGAGGUAACGGCUCACCUAGGCGACGAUACAUAGCCGACCUGGGAGGGUGAUCGGCCACACUGGGACUGAGACACGGCCCAGACUCCUACGGGAGGCAGCAGUAGGGAAUCUUCGGCAAUGGGGGCAAACCUGACCGAGCAACGCCGCGUGAGUGAAGAAGGUUUUCGGAUCGUAAAGCUCUGUUGUAAGUCAAGAACGAGUGUGAGAGUGGAAAGUUCACACUGUGACGGUAGCUUACCAGAAAGGGACGGCUAACUACGUG